ensembl:lncRNA
GUCCAACUUAGACUGUUAGGUGUUCCUGGCUUAUUUGCUCUGUGCACAAUAACUUGGGGAUGAGGUUAAUUUCUAUCUUACCACCAAAAUUGAACGCCAAAUUCAAUACAUUUCCAGACAUUAAAUGAAACAAAAUUUUGAAGAAAUGUGGUUAAUAUUUAUGCAAGCCUCAAUUUUCAAACAUACCAUAUAUAUGACAUUUGAACAUACAUGACAUUUGCUACAUACACCAAUUAGCCAUAAGAUUAUGACCACCUGCCUAAUCUUGUGUAGGUCCCCCUUUUGCCGCCAAAACAGCCCUGACCCUUUGAGACAUGGACUCCACUAGACAUCUGAAGGUGUGCUGUGGUAUCUGGCACCAAGAUGUUAGCAGCAGAUAGGUACUGACCACUGCAGACCGGGAACACAAGGGCUACAGUUUAGGAGGUGCUCUGAUCCAGUCGUCUAGUGAUCACAAUUUGGCCCUUGUAAAAGUCGCUCAGAUCCUUACGCUUGCCAAUUUUUCCUGCUUCUAACAAAUCAACUUUGAGGACACAAUGUUCACUUGCUGCCUAAUAUAUCCCACCCACUGACAGGUGCCAUGAUGACGAGAUUGUCAGUGUUAUUCACUUCACCUGUCAGUGGUUAUAAUGUUAUGGCUGAUUGGUGUAUGAUUAAUGAAACACUGAAAAUUUAUUUAUUCCCUGACAUUCCUCCUAACAGACCUUCCUCAGCCCAGUCUGACAGUGAUUCCUACAGUCAUCAGAGAGAGAGGCUCUGUUCAGGUGAUCUGUGCAACUCCUUCAUCUCUCUCUGAGUCUGAGUGUUACUUCAAAUUUGAGGGGCAAGUUGAGUUUACCCUACCAGCAGCCUGUCAACAGACACUCAGAGUCACAGGAAAUCAUCUGUUACGGUGGACAGGUCGAAGUUCACCUGCUGUGGUCAAAAUACAAUGUCAAUACAGUAACACAAGCUUUCAGUUUAGAUCCAUAUUCAGUGACCCAUCUACAGUCACAAUUGAGGAUCAUCCUCAGCUGACAGUGAUUCCUACAGUCAUCAGAAAGAGAGACUCAGUUCAGCUGAUCUGUGAGACUCCUCCAUCUGUCUAUGUGUCUGACUGUAUCUUCAGUGAAGUGGGGAGAUCUAGUCUGCCAGGCUCAACCUGUAAACAGACGGUCACAGGAUCUCAGCUGCUCUCUUGGACAGGUCAACCAUUACCAGCUGUGGUCCAGGUCACAUGUCACUACACUGUAGGGAUGUCUCACACAUCUCCUGUCAGUGACCCAGUUUCUGUCACUGUCCAGGGUGAACUACAGAAACCAGAGAUACAUAUGAAGGAUGAGUCUUCUGAUGUCAUCUCUAUAGACUCCCACUCUGUGUCCCCACACAGUGAUGGAUACAACUUACCAGAUCUGCCGGGAGAUCUCAUGAUCAGUGAUCCAACAACUAAACAGACAUCUUCUACAGCAGUUCCUGCUGAAGAGAACGAACAGUCAUCUGGAAAUGGCAAUUCUGGUACAUACCACAUGUACUGCUCAGUCCCUGAUCGACCAGCAACCUCAGCCCAGACAGUUGGGCUGUAGAGUCUUCUGCAGACACACUGAAACUACACCACUGGUUUUCUGUUGCUACAUUUAAAAGGUCUCAAACAAAUACCCUAUUUUUAACAUAAUGUCUUAAGUUCACAUCACUUUACUUGAAAUUAUCACUUACACCUGACUUUUGUUACAUAUCCAUAAUAUCUAUUUUAGUGUUUAAGUAAUUCGGGACAUAUUAUUUUUGUAUUUGUUUCUUCUUUUGCCCCUAGUAAAUUAUGUUUAAUCUGCAGUAUUAAUGUUUAUUGUCAGCUGUGUGAGGAGUUUUUCCAUAGUGCUUGGAUUCAGUUUCCAAUAUUUAUUCCAGUAUUUGGAGUAAACAUUUAUAUCAAUUGAUGCCUUUAUUGUAUACUCACACAUUAUGCAACAUGCAUAUUGGAUAUCAAGUUACUUUAAUUAACAGUAAUUAGGAAUGGAUCCAAACAGAAUUUCAUCCAAUAAAUGUCAUUAAUUCAAAAAUAUGCAUUCUAAAUGUAAUGUAGUGUUGUAAAGGACAGGUCUGGAAACAAGUCCAGAUUAAUUUAAACUUGCUUUAAUAGCAAACUGUAACUAAUCACACAAAGGUACUGACAAAGUAAAAGGGCCAACUUAGAACAAGAUGAGAUGAUUAUAUACUGUAGGUUUCACACAGACAGAACUGGAGUAAGUAACUGGCUGUAUGACAAACAAACGAAAACCAGUGGUAAAAGUAGGGUGACUGGUAGGAAACCGGUGUGCCUAAUUGUCUGGUGAUCAUGGGAAGGGUGUUGGAUAGUGAGUGUCCGGGGAGCUGAUGACAGAACAGGGCAUUGGGUUGGGAGUGACGGGGUGGCCGGUGAUUAGAAAACCGGGGAGGUUGAUCUCCUGAGGUGGGGAGGAGUCAUUGUGAGUGACCCAGACGUGGCAGUAAGCUACUGUACUCUGAUUAAAGGUGUAUAUACUUCUGGUUGGACCCAAACUGCAUUUCAUGGUACUGUACUUGUUCAUUGACAAUCAAGCUGAAUCUAAUCUAAUCAACCAGACAUGUGGUAGAGAGAUAAUUAUGUAUGAAAGUGUGAAUAUGUUCACUCAUUUCAUUUUUUAUAUUUAUUAUAGCAAUUUGUCACGUCCUAAAGUUAAUCUUUGAACUGAAAUUAUUUUAAAUACUAUGUAUUAGAUUAUAUAUGUAUAUUUUCUUCCAAUUACUAACCUAUUUUGUCUCCCUUCCUUAAUGCCAAAAAUCCUCAUGAUCUCUAAAUAACACUUCCUCCUCCUUCCCUUGUUAUUUUGACAUUAGAAUUUUUCAUUUUGGAAACACAAACUCUUAUCCCCACACACAAACCAUUCAGGAAGUGACUGUAUAUAAUAUGAUUGCAU